rnacentral:rRNA from 1 species
GUGCAAUGGCAUAAGCCAGCUUGACUGCGAGCGUGACGGCGCGAGCAGGUGCGAAAGCAGGUCAUAGUGAUCCGGUGGUUCUGAAUGGAAGGGCCAUCGCUCAACGGAUAAAAGGUACUCCGGGGAUAACAGGCUGAUACCGCCCAAGAGUUCAUAUCGACGGCGGUGUUUGGCACCUCGAUGUCGGCUCAUCACAUCCUGGGGCUGAAGUAGGUCCCAAGGGUAUGGCUGUUCGCCAUUUAAAGUGGUACGCGAGCUGGGUUUAGAACGUCGUGAGACAGU